rnacentral:rRNA from 1 species
ACCUGGGUUUGACAUAUAGGUUGUAGGGAACUGAAAAGGGACCGACCCUUCGGGGAGCCUAUACAGGUGUUGCAUGGCUGUCGUCAGCUCGUGUCGUGAGAUGUUCGGUUAAGUCCGCUAACGAGCGCAACCCUCGUCGUAUGUUAUAUGUGUCAUACGAGACUGCCGGUAAAAAGCCGGAGGAAGGUGAGGAUGAUGUCAAGUCAGCAUGACCUUUAUAUCCAGGGCUACACACACGCUACAAUGGUCUGUACAAUGGGUAGCCAAGCCGCGAGGCGGAGCCAAUCCUGAAAGCAGGCCUCAGUUCAGAUUGCAGUCUGCAACUCGACUGCAUGAAGCCGGAGUUGCUAGUAACCGCAGGUCAGCAAUACUGCGGUGAAUACGUUCCCGGGUCUU